ACAAAGCAUUAGGAGUCCCUGCUAGAGCAGGGCGGCAACCGAGCCUUAAAAGGCCACGGUGCCUUCUCAUAAAAGUGAGAGAUGUGCGGCUGAAGACCGAAAAUAAACAAAACAG
rnacentral:ncRNA from 1 species